GAGAGCAGGAACAAGGAAACUCGUCGCCGCCGCGGAGCUCAGAGGAAGCGGGCUGCAGCAGCCGGAGCGGGUUCGCUGGUCCCGGACACGUGGAGGACAUGGAGGCUGAGGAGGAGGAGGGGGGCCGCCGUGGAGACCCCCGGGAGCCGGGGGAGACCGCCGGGAGCAGCUGUACCGGGGAGCAGAGCCGGGAGCCCCGCUCAGUGCAGGGCAAGCUGGCGAAACGCACGAAGACGCAGCUGCAGGUGCAGCAGGGCGUCCCGGAGGGGGACGAACCUCGCUCUCUGGAUGUAGACCCUCGACUAGAGGACUGGCAGCAAACCGCUACUCGCUCACCACAGCUCAUACAGCAGGCUGCAGCAGGGAAGCUCUCAGUGGACGGCUUGCUGCACAUGCCCAGCUCUGAGCUGCAGGACACCAUGAGAAGACUGAGCUCCAACUCCGAGGACCGCUCCCGUCUCACUGCCGCCCUCUCCUGCCUGAAGAGUGAGACAGGAGAUGAAUCAGGGCCGGACUGUCUGGAUUCACAGCAGGACGGCAGUGUCUUCUCUCCCAUCGGCCCCCCUUCCGGCGCCAUGAGCCCCCACAAGCUCCUGCAGCCCGCCGUGGUGCACGGCCGCUCCAUCUCCAUCUCGGUGGUGCCUUGCUCCACCGAGCACAGACCCAGCGUAUCCACGGAGGACAUGCCCGUCGCCUUCAUGGCGGAGCCCGGCAGCCCGCCCAGCAUCCGGGCCUUCAGGACGCGCGCCGCCAAGACCUCCAACACGCCGCCGCCGCCGUCACGCAAGCUGCUGCAGCUCCUGCCCAAUCUCACGCUCCCCAGGAGCAAGAGCCAGGAGUCCCAGCUGGCGCACCGCGUCGAGGAUCCCUCUGCACACAGAGCCUACAAGAAGAACAGAGUAUUCGCUGCAAUUCAGAUCAACGGCUACGGGAGCGGCUCUGAGGACGCCGCUCUGAGGUCGCCUCUGACGUCUGGCCGGACUCACAGCUCGUCCGGAGUCCCGGUUCCUCCAGUGACGCCUGCCACCCCCACCCUGCCGGACAGCGUGGCCGUGUACAGGAGCUCCCCACAGACCAUGAGGAGGGACAUCGGUUUGGCUGUGACACACAGGUUUUCCACUAAGUCCUGGCUCUCGCAGACGUGCCAGGUGUGCUGCAAAAGCAUGAUGUUCGGUGUCAAGUGUAAACACUGCAAGUUAAAAUGCCACAACAAGUGUACCAAAGACGCGCCCUCUUGUCGGAUAUCGUUUCUCACACUGCCGAGGAUGCGCAGGGCCGAGUCGGUGCCUUCAGACAUCAAUAAUCGGAUUGAUCACUCAGCGACGAUCCCUCAGCAGUUUGGCACGUUACCCAAAAAACUCCCCAAAAGGAAGCCGGCGCCCAGUUUGAGUCAUCUGGAUUCCAGCAGCAACCCGUCGUCGGCCACCUCCUCCACGCCCUCGUCCCCGGCGCACUUCCAGCAGAGCAACCCACCCAGCGUGAGCACCACGCCUCCCACCAGCAACCCGUCCCCGCUGGCCUCCAGGGACGAGCGCUUCCACUUCCCAGAUGUUCCUGCCUCCUCGAACACGGCGCAGCUGGCUGGCAGCCACCACGACUCCGGAGCGUUGCAAGUGACAGCCAAUGAGACGCAGCAGACGACAGAGGAACAGAGGGUGACGAGUGCAGAGGAGGACGACCCCACCGACGGCGUGGAAGCAACGGACGGAAGUGACCGAAAUAAAGACUUUCCCGCCGAGGAGUACGACGAGGACAGUUUAGAGGACCUUCCCUCCUCUAUAUGCCGCCGUGAGACCUCGGGCCGCUCCGGGGGCUUCAUCGCUCGGAAAGCGAGCCAGACCAGCGUCUACCUGCAGGAGUGGGACAUCCCGUACGAGCAGCUGCAGCUGGGGGAGCUCAUCGGCAAGGGUCGCUGGGGAAAGGUGCAUAAAGGCCGCUGGCAUGGCGAGGUGGCGAUCCGCCUGCUGGAGAUCGACGGCACCAACCAGGAUCACCUGAAGGUCUUCAAGAAGGAGGUGAUGAACUACAGGCAGACCCGGCACGAGAACGUGGUGCUGUUCAUGGGCGCCUGCAUGGCCCCGCCUCACCUCGCCAUCAUCACCAGUUUCUGUAAAGGUUUGACCCUUUACACGGUUGUCAGAGAAAGAGGUCACAUGCUUGACAUCAAUAAAAUCAGACAGAUUGCGCAGGAGAUCGUAAAGGGAAUGGGUUAUCUGCACGCAAAGGGCAUCAUCCACAAAGAUCUGAAGUCCAAGAACGUGUUUUAUGACGCCAACAAGGUGGUCAUCACCGACUUCGGCCUGUUCGGGAUGUCUGGAGUGGUGGAGAAGAAAGAAUGUGGUGCGGAUACCACGAGGCUGGAUCUGCUACCUCGCCCCAGAAAUCAUUCACAAGAUGAGUCCCGAAGUCGACGAGGACCAGCUGCCCUUCUCCAAAGCCGCAGACGUUUAUGCGUUCGGCACCAUCUGGUAUGAGCUGCAGGUCGGAGACUGGCCGAUCACCAACCAGCCCGAGGAGGCGAAGAUCUGGCUGGUGGGCAGCAACGAGGGCAUCAAGAGGGUCCUGGCUGAGGCCAACCUGGGCAAAGAGGUCACGGAGAUCCUGUCCUCCUGCUGGUCGCCCGAGGCGGACGGCAGGCCCACUUUCACCCAGCUGACCGACAUGCUGGAGAGACUUCCCAAACUCAACCGCAGGCUGUCCCACCCCGGACACUUCUGGAAGACGUACGUAUCGUAGGAAGAGACGCGCACUCAUCCCCCCUAGUGAAGCAGCCUGCUUCGUUCACAGCAGCAUGUCCGGGUAGCAGAGUGUAUGACGAGCUCAAAGGACUAAUCCCACCUCCAGAAAAAAAAAGAGGAAAUGCUGUAAAUAGUGUUUUGUAAAGAAUGUGAAUGAAGAUGUUCUGCUGGGAAUUAACUAAUAUAAAAGACCUUUUAUUUCUAUUUCACCGCGGUUGUUGAUUUUUAGGUUAUAACGUUUUAAGAUGGAGUUUCACACCUGUCAGUUUGCAGUCUGCUCUCUCUUGUUUCAGAGUUUCACCUCUCAUUUUUUUUUUCCUCUUCCUCCAUGACUUCCUGUCCUGGUGCCUCCUGCUCCACCUCUGCCUGUCCUGUUCUCCUUCCUCCUGAUCUCCCUGGGCUCCUUUGGAUCUUUGCAUCUUUGCCUCAAUUCUGUGUGUCUGCUCGUUUUCCACCGUUCCUGCCCCCCUGAUUGCCUCCUCCCCCCCUUCCUCCCGGUGAAGGCCGUGGGAUCUCCACCAUCAUCAUUACCACCAGGAUCAGUGCCUGAGAGAUCACUGCCAUCAGGGUUUACAUGCACCCUGUCCAUACGAGUACAAAUACAGCAGCUGAGGCGCGCCGGUGCUCCUUCACGCUUUAUUUGUGUCGGAUCCAGCAGACGCUCCGUGUUUUUACUUGGUGUUGACAUGUGAUCUGUCCCUGAGUGCAUCAGGGUGUCUAAAGUAUGCAGCUUUCUGCUUACCCUCACAAGCACAUCGCAGCGUUUGGUGCAGGUCACCAGACUCACAGAACAACAGCUUUAGAUCGAACGUUUGCCAAUUUUAGCCUAUUUUUAGAUUUUUCAAUCAUAAAUUAUGAGAUCAUCAUGUAGGUCAGUUUUACUCUUUUCAACAGAUUUUUUUUACAUAAAAAAUUAGGUCUUUGGAUAUUUCAAGUGUUUUAAUUCUCCAUUUUUAUAUAUCUGAAGGAGUGUCCGGUAAAGGGUUAACUGGAGUUUGAAUGUUGUGCCUGAACCUGCUUGAGUUUUCAAAUGGUAGAUUCCACUGUUUCAGCAAACCCCAAAGCACUUUAUAAUGCCAGUUUGAGUUGAUUGAAUGUUAACAAGAUGCUGCCAUCUGUUUUAAAGUACAUAGUUCCAUCUGUAGGAGAUCUAAGAUGAAGCCUUUUGCCAAUAGGACUGAAUCAUUUUCCAGGACGAACCCUGCAUUCAUUCAUUCUGUUGAGCGUGAUACAUGCUUAUCAUCAAUGCUUCCAAAAGUUGUGGCAUUAGUAGAUUUACGUUCACUCUCACCUCUAGAUAAAGAUCUCAGACUCACUGAAGUCACACAGCAAAGCCAAACUUCGAUGGAAAUACAGAGAACAGCAAGUCACUUCAAACUGAAAGUGUUUCCACUUUCUGGAUGAGGUUCCCACAAACUUCAAAUGGUACAAAGAUAAUGCUGGAGAGGCAGAAAACAUCCUCCUGUUAUUUCUCACACUCAAUCCUUCCAUCUUCUAAACCAGUGCAGCAGAUAAAAGACUUUUUUCAGGUGGAUCGUUUAAAAAUGGCAGCCAUCUUGAAUUCUAGGUGGCCAGCAUAUUUUUUUCAAAACAAGUCACCCCUUGGGAGUAUUUGUGGCAAGUUUGGUGCUUGCGUCACAUUUUGAGCGAUAGUUUCACCUAUCUGUUGCACGACCACCUCGGUUGUGGAGGAUAUGAGUCAGUUUCAGUUCAAAGGCCAGCAGCUCAUCAAACAACACAUCGGAACGCCGAUAGGAGUUUUUGAAUGAUCUCACACCACACACACGUCUUUCAGCCACAAAUUUGUGAACCUCUGAGUCAGAUUGAGAUUAACUUUGUUUCUUUUUUUUUACGAGAUAAUCCAGAUUACUAGUCAACAUCAGGUGUAAAUGCAGUGUGAAGCUGUGUCUGAACUGGGCCGGUACUCUUUACAGCAGAACACUGGUACGUUUGACCUGCCGUCACAGUGAAGACAUGUCCUUGUGAGUGUGUGUGAGUGUGUGUCAACUGUUGUUUUUCUCCUUCAUGAAACCACUUGUGAAAGCUCUUUUUCAUUAUUAAAACUGCACCAAGAUAACACAGAAUGUUCAAACUGAGAGGAAACAUUUGGGAUAAGUGCAACGAACUUGCUAAAAGAGCAUAAAAAAAAAAAACACAUCUGAACUUUUCACACAGUUCGAUGCUCUUUGAUACUCCCUGACUAAAACCUUUCAGAUGGAUGCACAUUUAUGAAAAGCUGGAUCCAAACUGCUGCACUUUGGACAGCGUUGGCGUUACGCGAGUAUUGCACAGUACUCUGUGUCACAUGUCACCUUUUCAGGUGAUCACAUAUAUAGGUGAAAGGCGAGGUUCCUCCCAGAGUGCAGUGAGGCAGGAGAACUGCAAGCAGCAGUUAUGUUGCCAUGUAAAACUAAAAAAGUUGUGAUUUUGUUGCGUGUGUGUGUGUGAGUGUCUUUUUGCAUUGAAUCUUAUUAGUGAACUGAAAGUGGCUGCUUUGGGUGUGUUUUGUGCAUCCUCGGGCAGGAUGUAACGUACACCCACUGAACAUGUCUGAAUGUAUCAGGUUUUACCUGCACACUGAAACUCCAUCAAGCAGUAAUGCUUUUUUUUUUUUUUUUUUUUUUUAAUUAAAGGAACAAAAAGCUAUUGCAAUAGCUGUAAAUACAGUUUAGUGCUGCAGGUUGUGUGAAUGUUUGGAUUUCAAGGCUUUACAGCUGGUACUUCACUUCAUAUUUAUGUGUGGAAACUGCUGUUGGUGAUUUUUGUUUCUUUUUCCUUCCUUUUUUCCGGGGGGAGGGGAAUGACCUGUAGAUUGUUUUGUACAACGUGUAAGAUUUCAGUCUGAACCGCUGAAAACAUUAAAAAUAAUCCCAAAUUGA